rnacentral:rRNA from 1 species
GAUGAACGCUGGCGGCGUGCCUAAUACAUGCAAGUCGAGCGAACGGACGAGAAGCUUGCUUUUCUGAUGUUAGCGGCGGACGGGUGAGUAACACGUGGAUAACCUACCUAUCAGACUGGGAUAACUUCGGGAAACCGGAGCUAAUACCGGAUAAUAUUUUGAACCGCAUGGUUCAAAAGUGAAAGACGGUCUUGCUGGCACUUAUAGAUGGAUCCGCGCUGCAUUAGCUAGUUGGUAAGGUAACGGCUUACCAAGGCAACGAUGCAUAGCCGACCUGAGAGGGUGAUCGGCCACACUGGAACUGAGACACGGUCCAGACUCCUACGGGAGGCAGCAGUAGGGAAUCUUCCGCAAUGGGCGAAAGCCUGACGGAGCAACGCCGCGUGAGUGAUGAAGGUCUUCGGAUCGUAAAACUCUGUUAUUAGGGAAGAACAUAUGUGUAAGUAACUGUGCACAUCUUGACGGUACCUAAUCAGAAAGCCACGGCUAACUACGUG